AAAUAGAAAGAGGAGUUAGGAGUGAGACUGUGUCUAUUGAACUCAGAUCAAAGAGUCUUCUCCCUCCUUCCAAUCACAUAUGCGACGGCGCUCAACCGCUUCUCCGACGCGAGACUCACAUCGCCGCCGUGACAAAUUCCAUCCCGACGACCUUCGUCUUCCCUCUUCGUUCAUCUCUCCAAUUAAACUUCUCAUCUCUCAGUUCAUAAUUUUAACAAACAACUAGGUUAAGCAGAAAUUGGAGAAGGAAGCAAUUGGACUUACCUGGAUUGGCACGUGAGACCGAUAGUUGAACAAGUCCAGAGGUGAGGUAAUAAUCUACCGAAGACUAUACGCGAACUAAACGCAGGAAGAAAGAGAAGACUUCAACCUCAGGUCUGACUUUGGUUUUAUAAUGUGCAAGAGUUUGAUGUUUGGUUGGCAUAGGAAUGGCGUGAUGCAAGGAUUUGACUGCUACAAGGCAGUGCGUGUGCAGGCAUAUGCGAGGUUGAUCGGCUAUUGGCACGGAUAUAGACAUGGUCAUAUGGAGGUAGAUGAAGGUUUCGACACGGCGAGAAGUGGAUAUGAAGGUCGUAUUGAAUGAAAUAGGAGGCUUGAUGAAGUGUGUGUAAUGUCUGGUUCUAAAAUAUGAACAUGUGUUUUUGAUGAUAUGUGCAGGUUCAGAGGUAAUGAGGGUCUGUUAAUGUGAAUUGGUUAUGGAACUGUCAGAUUGAUAUGGUUUUAAUGUGUAGUGUGACAGUUCUUGCUUUGAUAGUGCUUGUGAUAAUGAUAUAAUUAUGCAGGUUGGCUUAUAGGUUUGGAUUGGGAAGGAGGUAAAGCCUUUGGCAAUGCUCGUCAAUGAGAGAUGCUGGGAUCUUGUGGACUGGUUAGCAGGCAUGGUGUGAAGUAUUUAAACGUCACGGUUUUGCUGACAGUUAAGAAGCUGUUGGAAUUUUCAUGAAGAGUUGGACUUGGUUUUGAAUGGACUGUUUGGAGUUGGUGUAGCUUUAGGAACAAGUGUUCGAGUGCUUGUGUUGUAUUGAUUUUGAAUGUGUCUACUUGAAAGGUUGGUGCUAUGGAAGAUAACUUGGCCGUGAAGAAAACAUAAAGCAAAUGGUCAAUGAUGUAUGAAGGAAUUCUGGAACAGCUUGGUUUUAUUUCUUUAUAUAUUUCCAAUUCUGACUUUUUUCUUUGUAAUGUAUCUUGUAACUUUAUGAUGGAUUUUGACCUUGUAUGGGACUUGUAAUUCAAGUAAUGAAGUAGAACACUUUCCCUA